rnacentral:rRNA from 1 species
GACGAACGCUGGCGGCGUGCUUAACACAUGCAAGUCGAACGAUGAAGCCCAGCUUGCUGGGUGGAUUAGUGGCGAACGGGUGAGUAACACGUGAGCAACGUGCCCGAAACUCUGGAAUAACUACCGGAAACGGUGGCUACUACUGGAUAUGUGCCAGGGAGGCAUCUCCUCUGGUUGGAAAGAUUUUUCGGUUUCGGAUCGGCUCACGGCCUAUCAGCUUGUUGGUGGGGUAAUGGCCUACCAAGGCGACGACGGGUAGCCGGCCUGAGAGGGUGACCGGCCACACUGGGACUGAGACACGGCCCAGACUCCUACGGGAGGCAGCGGUGGGGAAUAUUGCACAGUGGGCGCAAGCCUGAUGCAACAACGCCGCGUGGGGGAUGACGGCCUUCGGGUUGUAAACCUCUUUUAGUAGGGAAGAAGCGAAAGUGACGGUACCUGCAGAAAAAGCACCGGCUAACUACGUG